rnacentral:tRNA from 1 species
CAUUAAAUGACCGAAAGAAAGUAUUGAUCUUUUAAAUCAAUUAUAAUAGAAUUAAUCAUCUAUUUUUAAUGACC